rnacentral:rRNA from 1 species
GCUUACGGCCAUACCAGCCUGGGUACGCCCGAUCUUGUCAGAUCUCGGAAGCUAAGCAGGGUCGGGCCUGGUUAGUACUUGGAUGGGAGACUGCCUGGGAAUCCCAGGUGCUGUAAGCA